rnacentral:rRNA from 1 species
UCAGGAUGAACGCUGGCGGCGUGCCUAACACAUGCAAGUCGAACGGAGAAUUUACGCUGAUGAAGCUUCGGCAGAUUCUUGUAAAUUCUUAGUGGCGGACGGGUGAGUAACGCGUGGGCAACCUGCCUCAUACUGGGGGAUAACAGCUGGAAACGACUGUUAAUACCGCAUAAGCGCACGGUAUCGCAUGAUACAGUGUGAAAAACUCCGGUGGUAUGAGAUGGGCCCGCGUCAGAUUAGCCAGUUGGCAGGGUAACGGCCUACCAAAGCGACGAUCUGUAGCCGGCCUGAGAGGGCGGACGGCCACAUUGGGACUGAGACACGGCCCAAACUCCUACGGGAGGCAGCAGUGGGGGAUAUUGCACAAUGGAGGAAACUCUGAUGCAGCGACGCCGCGUGAGUGAAGAAGUAUUUCGGUAUGUAAAGCUCUAUCAGCAGGGAAGAAAGACUCGUAAGAGAGAUGACGGUACCUGACUAAGAAGCCCCGGCUAACUACGUGCCAGCAGCCGCGGUAAUACGUAGGGGGCAAGCGUUAUCCGGAUUUACUGGGUGUAAAGGGAGCGCAGACGGUCAAGCAAGUCUGAAGUGAAACCCCACGGCUCAACCGUGGGCUUGCUUUGGAAACUGUUUGACUAGAGUACUGGAGAGGUAAGCGGAAUUCCUAGUGUAGCGGUGAAAUGCGUAGAUAUUAGGAGGAACAUCGGUGGCGAAGGCGGCUUACUGGACAGC